AUUGAACGCUGGCGGCAGGCCUAACACAUGCCAGUCGAGCGGAUGAAGGGAGCUUGCUCCUGGAUUCAGCGGCGGACGGGUGAGUAAUGCCUAGGAAUCUGCCUGGUAGUGGGGGAUAACGUCCGGAAACGGGCGCUAAUACCGCAUACGUCCUGAGGGAGUAAGUGUGGGAUCUUCGGACCUUACGCUAUCAGAUGAGCCUAGGUCGGAUUAGCUAGUUGGUGGGGCAAAGGCCUACCAAGGCGACGAUCCGUAACUGGUCUGAGAGGAUGAUCAGUCACACUGGAACUGAGACACGGUCCAGACUCCUACGGGAGGCAGCAGUGGGGAAUAUUGGACAAUGGGCGCAAGCCUGAUCCAGCCAUGCCGCGUGUGUGAAGAAGGUCUUCGGAUUGUAAAGCACUUUAAGUUGGGAGGAAGAGCAGUAAGUUAAUACCUUGCUGUUUUGACGUUACCAACAGAAUAAGCACCGGCUAACUUCGUG
rnacentral:rRNA from 1 species